AUCCAGAGUCCUAAACUGAAGAGCCUCUUGACCCAGUCCUAGGCAAGGUCCUUGAAACUGCAUUCUGUGUGGAUGGUGUGGUCUUCUGAAGUCCUAACUGUCCAGCUUGACUUUGGGAGAGAUACGUGCUCAUCUGCAUUUCCUGUGCCUCAGAACUAGACAGAAACAACUGCUUAUUCUGUAUGUGUGUCUUGUUUCCUUGGGAGAAUUCAGGACAAAAGUGAAAAGCAAAGUUAAUGCAGAUCUGCUUUUGCAAAGUCCUUCUCAUUCUCAGUGCUGAGACACUACUCUCAUGAAGGUAUCAUCGGG